rnacentral:rRNA from 1 species
UACGAAGGGGGCUAGCGUUGCUCGGAAUCACUGGGCGUAAAGGGUGCGUAGGCGGGUCUUUAAGUCAGGGGUGAAAUUCUGGAGCUCAACUCCAGAACUGCCUUUGAUACUGAGGAUCUUGAGUACGGGAGAGGUGAGUGGAACUGCGAGUGUAGAGGUGAAAUUCGUAGAUAUUCGCAAGAACACCAGUGGCGAAGGCGGCUCACUGGCCCGUAACUGACGCUGAGGCACGAAAGCGUGGGGAGCAAACAGG